rnacentral:rRNA from 1 species
GGUGAACGCUAGCGGCAGGCCUAACACAUGCAAGGUCAGGGGCAGCACGGAUUGCUUGCAAUCUGGUGGCGACCGGCGCACGGGUGCGUAACGCGUAUACAACCUACCUUUUGGAGGGGAAUAGCCCAGAGAAAUUUGGAUUAAUACCCCAUAGUAUAUAGGAAUCUCCUGAUUUUUAUAUUAAACAUUUAUGGCCAUUAGAUGGGUAUGCGUCCUAUUAGCUAGUUGGUGUGGUAACGGCACACCAAGGCUACGAUAGGUAGGGGUCCUGAGAGGGAGAUCCCCACACUGGUACUGAGACACGGACCAGACUCCUACGGGAGGCAGCAGUGAGGAAUAUUGGACAAUGGGCGAGAGCCUGAUCCAGCCAUGCCGCGUGCAGGAAGACUGCCCUAUGGGUUGUAAACUGCUUUUACAGAGGAAGAACCACCCCCACGUGUGGGGGUUUGACGGUACUCUGCGAAUAAGGAUCGGCUAACUCCGUG